GAACGCUGGCGGCGUGCCUAACACAUGCAAGUCGAACGGGGAUUUGUUUCGGCAGAAUCCUAGUGGCGAACGGGUGAGUAACGCGUAGGCAACCUGCCCUCCGGCCGGGGACAACACUCCGAAAGGGGUGCUAAUACCGGAUACGAAGUCUGUGCCGCAUGGUACGGAUUUGAAAGAUGGCCUCUAUUUAUAAGCUAUCGCCGGGGGAUGGGCCUGCGUCCGAUUAGCUGGUUGGUGGGGUAACGGCCUACCAAGGCGACGAUCGGUAGCCGGUCUGAGAGGAUGAACGGCCACAUUGGGACUGAGACACGGCCCAGACUCCUACGGGAGGCAGCAGUGGGGAAUCUUCCGCAAUGGGCGCAAGCCUGACGGAGCAACGCCGCGUGAGUGAGGAAGUUCUUCGGAACGUAAAGCUCUGUUGUUCCUGACGAACCUCCCCUCUAUCAACAACGGAGGGGACUGACGGUAGGGAACGAGGAAGCCACGGCUAACUACGUGCCAGCAGCUGC
rnacentral:rRNA from 1 species